ACUCCUCCUUUUCAUCUUUUACUCUCUCCCUCUCCCUGCUAUACGCUCUAUGCUCUCUCAAGUCAAUUUUUUUAAAAUCAGGUCGAUUAAUUGUGUAUUGCGAUGGGUUGGGGUUUUUAAGUUUACAAACCCUAACCAUCUCCCUGGAUCUCAUCUCUUUGUGACAUACUCAGUGAAUUUGUUGUUUAGAUUCACUUUCCUUGGUAGGUGGAACUUCUCAAGCCCGAAAAUGAAGAAUAAGGUGUUGUCAAAGCUUGUUAGUGGAAGUGGAGUCGAUGCUGGUGUGUUGUCUAUAAUCUUCUUUAUGUUAGUCAUUUCUUGUAUAGUCUUUCAUUAUUAUUAGAGUUAGUCUUGAACUACAUUUUAGCUAUUAAUACAUAUUUUUUGAGAGAUUUGAAGUGCUGCUUGAAAUGAUGGAAAGGCACUAGUAAAUGGCUUGUGGGUUGCUCACACUUUUGAAGUGGGCAUGCCUCUUGGUACGGAGUUUAUUUUCCCUCUAAUUGAGAAAUACAAGAUUGGGCAUCUGAAUAGGAUUGAUGCUCAUCUUACCAACAAUAGUCAGCCACUAGAGAUGCAAAAGCUUCAAUGUUGAGUAAAACUUCAGUUCUUUGAGAUUUACUUCUCAAAUAGAAGUGGAAAAGAGGGUAAUCAAGCUCUUAAGGGUUAUAUAGGAGCAAGCUAUCACAUACACGUUGCUAGUUUAUAUUGAGCAUUAUAAUAUUUACGGUGUAAACUGUUUCAGCCUUUUGUAUUUUGAAUGGUUUUGUAAACACUAAAUUGAAUUUUUUUUCAUGUCAGAGAUUUAUUUUUUGUAUUUAUUAGUGCAAGAUUUUGUGACGUAAUUUUUUUGA